GCCGCCGUAGCUCAGAUGGUAGAGCGCUGGGCUGUUAACCCAGUGGUCGCCGGUUCGAGUCCGGCCGGCGGCGCCA
rnacentral:tRNA from 1 species